rnacentral:tRNA from 1 species
UGGAGGAGUUCCCGAGUUGGCCAAAGGGGACGGACUGUAAAUCCGUUAGCUUAGCUUUCAGUGGUUCAAAUCCACUCUCCUCCACCAU